rnacentral:rRNA from 1 species
GAUGAACGCUGGCGGCGUGCUUAACACAUGCAAGUCGAACGUGAGGGUGUAGCAAUAUGCCUGAAAGUGGCGAACGGGUGAGUAACACGUAGGUAACCUGCCUUGAAGCGGGGGAUAACGGCUGGAAACGGCUGCUAAUACCGCAUAUUGUGAGUGGAGUGGGAACUUCACUUGUGAAAACUUUGGUGCUUCAAGAGGGGCCUGCGUCCGAUUAGCUAGUUGGUGGGGUAAGAGCCUACCAAGGCGAUGAUCGGUAGCUGGUCUGAGAGGACGAUCAGCCACACGGGAACUGAGAAACGGUCCCGACUCCUACGGGGGGCAGCAGUGAGGAAUAUUGGGCAAUGGGCGGAAGCCUGACCCAGCAACGCCGCGUGGAGGAUGAAGGCCUUCGGGUCGGUAAACUACCUUUUACCUAGGGGAAGGAAGUGAGGAGGUACCCUGAGAAUAAGUACACGGCUAACUACGUGCCAGCAGCCGCGGUAA